AGUGAACGCUGGCGGUAGGCCUAACACAUGCAAGUCGAACGGCAGCACAGGAGAGCUUGCUCUCUGGGUGGCGAGUGGCGGACGGGUGAGGAAUACAUCGGAAUCUGCCCAGUCGUGGGGGAUAACGUAGGGAAACUUACGCUAAUACCGCAUACGACCUUCGGGUGAAAAAGGGGGAUCGCAAGACCUCUCGCGAUUGGAUGAGCCGAUGUCGGAUUAGCUAGUUGGCGGGGUAAUGGCCCACCAAGGCGACGAUCCGUAGCUGGUCUGAGAGGAUGAUCAGCCACACUGGAACUGAGACACGGUCCAGACUCCUACGGGAGGCAGCAGUGGGGAAUAUUGGACAAUGGGCGCAAGCCUGAUCCAGCCAUACCGCGUGGGUGAAGAAGGCCUUCGGGUUGUAAAGCCCUUUUGUUGGGAAAGAAAUCUUUCAGGCUAAUACCCUGGGAGGAUGACGGUACCCAAAGAAUAAGCACCGGCUAACUUCGUG
rnacentral:rRNA from 1 species